rnacentral:rRNA from 1 species
CCCGCGUGCUCCGCUCCCAAUACUCGUCGCAAGCCAGAGCCCACACCCGCACCAACCCUAGCCUCCACACCUCACCUUCUCACAGCCGCCGCUCCAUUCCUCCCUUCCGCCCCCUCCUCCUUCCCGGAUCCCCACCACGGCGCCGACCUGCAGGCAAAGGGCGACAGCGGCGGCGCUCAGUUAGAUUUGUAGGAGAGAGAAGAUGAGAGGGAGAGAGAGGAGGGAGAAAGAGAGGAAGAGGAGAGGAGGCACGGCGUCGGAUGGGAGAGAGCAGGGGAGGGCCAAGAGGCCAACGGUGUGGGGUGGAGCAGCGAUGCCGAAGACCGGGCAGCGGACGCCUCACGGGGUGGAGGAGAGGUCGAUGGGCGGAGCCGUUCGCUCGCCGGACGUGGCGGCGCCAGGUUCCAGAUCGGACGCAGGUUAGGUGAGGGCGUGAGGCCGAUGGUGGUCCUUCUCAACCCGAGCUCACCUCACCCUCGCGGCGGCGACCAGCAGCUCGAGUAGGAAUGGUAAGGGCCCGUCAAGAUCUGGCCAGUGCCGUGCUCCCUGGCGCCCGCACAUAGCGGACUGUCCUCUGAUGGAGCAUAGGAGCAGCGGUCGCGGUUGGACGCCAUGAGCUGCCUGAGGUGAGGAACGGGCGCGCCCAACACCGUCCUCCAAUAAGUCCUUCCCGGUAGAGAAAGCCAACUCUCGGAUUUCAGUAAGGAAGGCGCGGCCACCAUGCCAUGUCCAUGGCACCAUCGACCCUUCACCCGCCUCCUCUUUGAAGUGCAGCACCAUCGUACCCCCUUUGGCCCUUCCCGCCCAGUUUUGCCUCACCAUAGGAGGAAUACGGGAGCUGCCUGCCUGCCUGCUACCCCAAAAGGAUGCGUCACCCAGUGGAAAUGCCUCUGGCUCACUGGUUUUGGUUCAGUUUGAAGGGCUCUCGGGACAAAAGAUAAUUGAGUUGUUGAAUCUGAAUGGGCGCCGCGAGGAGUGGAGGAUCGAGGUCGUGGGUUGCCAGCUUCAAAUUUUGGUUGAGCACUUCCUCAAUAAUCUUGUUGAGGUGUCUGUUUCCCCUCUUUGUGUCAUGAAUGAUUGUGUUGGCUGCAGGCUCUCCGCAAGGAGUUGAAGGCUGAGGUCAUGGUUGCCAGCUUCAAUUUUUUGCUGAGCAAUUCCUCAAGAGUCUUGCCAAGAUCUGAGGAUGAAGGGAAGAAGAAGGAUUUAACUAAAGAGUUGAAGAAGAUGAAGGCUCGCUGAUGGUCUGGCAAUGCUGCAUAUACAUCUGAAUGCCAAUGAUAGUAUGGUUUAGAUAGACAAGUUAAUAAUUUCUUUUUCUUCAUCAAGUUUACGCUUCCAUUGAUCUACAUUUAAUUUAAUUCACAAACCCGACACCCUUUGGAGUAGCCCAUGUGUAUCUCUGAAUCUUGGCACUUGGGUAUUAUAUGUAUUUCAUUGGUUCAUCGCACAUUGUAGCCAUGCAUGGGCCAGAGACAAUCGGCGAUAAAAACGAUCUGCUUGCAAGUUCUAUAUUACCAGCGGAGGCUUUGCCAAGAGGAAGGGUAAUUCGUGCAGGGGAAUAAACCCUACAUGGUAAUCCAGGGGAACAUGCUUUAUAAGUUGUGCUUUUUGUAAGCUAAGCUGUGUUUUUCAACCCGUUGUCCUUUAGAUAUCUUCCUUUUACAUUUUUUGUAUGUGAUGGUUAGUUGAUCAGGUUGAGUGCUUCUUUGCAGUGCUUGCUUCGUUGGAACAUGUUCAUUUGGCUAAUAAAACAGUACACAUCUCUCUUGAAUUAUGUGCAUCUCCUUUUUAGUUAUUUGAUUUUUUUAGUGACUCGCUAAUUGGAAAAUCGGGAUGCUAAAACUUGGCAUAAUGAAUUCUUGAAUUACGUACUUCUUAUUGUGCAUGUCAAACUAAGGACUAAAUAUAUUUUUAGUUGAGAUAUUGUUUUGAGUAUUUCUCUGCAACAACUUAAAUUACUUUUUGCAAAUAAAAUGAGCUAGCAUAUGCUAUACUUGCAAUGGUAAAUUAAUUAUGCAGUUCUGAGGAUUGAGGAAAUUAAUGGUCAGUCGUUCAUUGAGGGUUUGAAAGAGCCAUCAAGGCAACGAUCUCAUUUCAUCUCAUGCAUUGAUUUUGUUAUCUUCUUUAUAUGGCAUUUUAUUAAUUAUUUAUAUAUAUUUGCCGUAUUGCUGUUUCUAAAAAUUGCUGUAUCCUUUGUCCCCAUUUCCGUAUCGCUGUAUCUGUGUUGCCGGUGCACCAUAGCAAUUACUUAUUGAAGAAAAAUGUCCCUUUUCUUGUUCCCAUUGCUCGAUAAGCAUGAUCGCAUUUCUACCGAUUGAUUAUAAAUAUGGCCUUUCUUUUGAUUAUUUGAUGGUACUUCUGAUUGGCACCAUGAGGUCCUUCUUUGUCGUGUAGAUUCAUCCUUUACUUAAAUACUGAUGAUGAUAUGGUUGUAAAUUAGUCUGGUAUAUGCCAACAGUUGUCUCUCCCAGAAGAAUUUUUGUGAGAAUAGCGUACCUAAAGAGUUGGUUGUUUGUCUGGAUUGAACACCCAACUAUAAGAAUGGGUUGACAACACCGAUUGACUCUAUUGGCGCUUCUAUGUUGUCCAGCUUCAUCAUUUACUUAUACACUGAUGAUAUUGUUGUCAGCGUGUUGUAAGUACUUUGGGAAACAAGUCUGGUAUAUUACAAUGAUGUAGUCCUGCAGAUCAGUACAGGUCACCGGCUUUAUAUUGUUGUCAGCGUGUUGUAAGUACUUUGGGAAACAAGUUCUGGGGUAAGUUUACCUGCUUGCUCAUGCAUUUUAAUACUUGAUUGAUGUCCUGAUAAUUUGUGAAGUUCUGUGUACCAUGUGAUAAGCUGCACAUCAGGUUGCAUGGCAGCUUGUUUGUUGCUUUUAGGAUGUGCAUGUACCCAGGUGGAUCAAAUACAGAUACCAAUCAUAUAUUAUUAUUUUUACUCGUGUGUUUUUUUUGUGCCUGCCAAACAUUUCGAAAAUUGAUUAUAUCAUUCAGAUGUAUUCAGGCUGGGUUUCUGUGAUCCAAAAAAAUCAUCUGCCAUGGCUUUCUUUUUACAUACAAAACUAAGUGUGGAGCAGUGUAUAUUUUCAUUGCUUUCUUAUCACAUCACAUUUGUCGGAGGUGUUGUACUGAUUUGAAGGAAAUGCUUUUAUAUUUCCAAGUUGAUCAACUACACAACUUCUGAUCCUAAAGCCUUUCUUUAAAAGGGGCUGGUCAAUGCAGCUCCAUGUUGUGCUAUCUUGCUAUUGGGCUCUUUUUUCGUUACUUAAAAUGGUCAGAUAUCUCUGAUGUUAAAUUCGUGGUUGAUUGCUUAUAUCCAAAAUAACUAUUUUAGUACACUGAAGCCAAUUUCUAAAUUGUUAGUGAAGUUGGCUAAAUAGUUUUUGCGCCACUAAGAUAUAUGUGCACUGCAUUCUAACCCUGUAAAUUGUUGUGCUAUUAGUUUAAUCCAGAAUAUAAUUAUGUUAUAUUCUGCUUUUGUCAGUUUGCUGGUCCAUAUUAAUUUCCUCGAGCUUAUUUUCACAUCUCGUCAUAUUUACACCUUUCUGCCAACUGCCACCUAUCAUGGAGGGAGAUGGCUUGGCCAGGCCGUCAACACCCAUCGGCAACUUCCGGCAGGCGCCGUCCCGUUCUUCCUCCCCUUACUCUGAUGCCUUCAUGGCCAAAAUCAUUAGCAGGAGCAAGAAGGUUAAGCGCCAAUUAUGGUUAAAGCUUUGUCUCUUUUGUGUACUAUGCAUGAUUGAUCUGAUUUUGCUGGCCAGCUUACAAAUUCAAGUAAUAUGGCUAUUGCAAUGCAUCUUACUACGUGUGUAUUUAUUUGCAUUGAUAUUUUCUCCUUCUUGGGCUCCAAAUCGUUUGUGGGUCAUAAGUUAUUGUGCAUUAUUGAUGAUUAAUUUGCAAUUUAAAUGACAACAGGGUUGGGUUUUAUAAGUGUAAUGGCUUGAAAUGUGACCUUCCAUUCAAGAUAUUUUGUCAGUGAGAAGCUUAUGUGAAGAAUGAUGUAAUUAAGUUAGCAAUUUACAGUUCUCUUUGAUAAUUGUAACUGAAUUGUCAAUGGUCAGUUCUCUUGAAUAAUGAGUUACUCCCUCAAUUUUACAAUAGAGAUAAUUUGUCAAAAUUGUGUUUUUGUAAUGUUUGUGGUCUUCUUUUCUCUUUUUCUUGAUUUGUAUUGUAUAUGCUAUUUGCAUAUUUGAACAUGCAUAGGGCCUCUCAGUCUUUAACCUUGACUAUAAAAAUCCAUUGAUGGAAGCUGGGGAGGGCUGAGAUGAACAUCCGG